UAGUAUUGAGGAUAGAAAAGGCAGCUAUCACCCUUGUUAGGAGAUAUGGGAAGGGUCACCCCAUCUUUACUA
ncrna:unclassified sequences skipping-rope RNA